GACGAACGCUGGCGGCGUGCUUAACACAUGCAAGUCGAACGGAAAGGCCCUGCUUUUGUGGGGUGCUCGAGUGGCGAACGGGUGAGUAACACGUGAGUAACCUGCCCUUGACUUUGGGAUAACUUCAGGAAACUGGGGCUAAUACCGGAUAGGAGCUCCUGCUGCAUGGUGGGGGUUGGAAAGUUUCGGCGGUUGGGGAUGGACUCGCGGCUUAUCAGCUUGUUGGUGGGGUAGUGGCUUACCAAGGCUUUGACGGGUAGCCGGCCUGGGAGGGUGACCGGGCACAUUGGGACUGAGAUACGGACCAGACUCCUACGGGCGGCAGCAGUGGGGAAUAUUGCACAAUGGGCGGAAGCCUGAUGCAGAAACGCCGCGUGCGGGAUGACGGCCUUCGGGUUGUAAACCGCUUUCGCCUGUGACGAAGCGUGAGUGACGGUAAUGGGUAAAGAAGCACCGGCUAACUACGUG
rnacentral:rRNA from 1 species